ACAUAAAUAACCAAGUUAAAUUGUUGACCUCAGAAAAUAGUAAGAAACUAAGAAACGAAUGUUUGCAUGUUAUUUCGACUUUACCUUACUCCCGGGGUCGUAGAUGACGGAAUUCAAACGAGGUUAGAUUCAACAUUAUGAUAGAUAGCAAUUUACAAGGCAAGACAACGAAAUGCUAUACCAUUCUAUAACGAAACAUCGAUAAUUGAAAAAUGGGGGAUUAUAAAGUUUUCUUGCCAUCUUCGCCUGUAACGUCUGAUGAAUAUUAAAAGAAGCAAGCUUAUAAAACGACUGCUGUUACGAAAAAAAGUUCUUCCCAGUUAUUUCUGCGGACUCGUUAUUGGACUAUGAUAUCAGUAUACAACGGCGUGCAAUCCAUCCUCAUGAAUAAGACAAUUCUCCCUUAUUGGAGUACCUUCUAGCAGGGCAGUGGCGUAGCGCAAACGAGGCUCGCGGCGGUGUAUCCUGCAGGAGACGUCCCCCCGCAACUCCCAGCUCCUCCGGGAGGACCAUUCAGCUGCCGAAUGCAAACGAGGCAGGAGCGGGGGCGCUGCGAGCGACGAGGUCGCUGCACAUCAAAGUAUGCAGCCUCACCUCGUUAUCCGUCCCGGCGAACAAGCACACACGCUAUCCCUGCUGUAUGCAAACGAUGCCUGAUUAAAGUUAUUAAUGUUUUCUCUUCAAUUAACAAGGUCAUAAUAAGUUCUCACAAGAGUUGCCUUUAGGAUGGACAAAAUUAAGAUUGUAAUACAGGUAAAAUACUCUAAUAUGUGACCGUUGCCCUGCUGAAACACGUACAGUACAUUAUAUUUAUUACUUUCAUUUCCAAAAAACAGAGAUAACAUGUUUUUGUAUAAGUAGAAA